AGCAGAAAUCGUCAAUCUCCCCAGCAUCCGCUGCUCGCCUGGCACAAGAGUGGACCGUCGCACUAAGUGCGGAGGAUACCAAUGGAGAUGAACAACAACGUAGAUACAUAGUAGAAAACCCACCAUCCCACCUUCUAAGAGAUAAAAACACCCGAAAAAUAAAUCAAAACAAGAAACUUUUGUCCCCCUUUCAGACCAAGCAAUGCUCAAUAACACGUACUGAUACGCGGGUAGCCCGCUCAACUUAUUCGUACAUUCAAGAAAUAUCAAAUGAAGCCUUGUUGGAUGAAGUAUGGCUUCAAAAUUCUUGUCCGUUCAACAUCUCCAUAAAGUUACGCACUCUCCAGCAAUCAAUUGCACGCGGUGGCUGGAUGGAUACUGACUGCUUAAAUUUUGCGAUCCGCAAAAUGUUCUUGGAUGACGUGGAUCGGUUCGAGGGAACAAACUAUUUGGGAUGGAGACACUUCAUAAACCUCGACUUUGCAAGCUAUGCCUUGGCGGGGGGUGAAUUCUGGGUUCCAGAGCACCAGCUAGGACACUUCAUUGGAACACACAUACGUUAUGACGUUUCGCAAAGCCAUCAGAUACUCAUACCACUUCAUCUAGUUAAUCACUAUGCGUUGUAUGCAUUCGACAUGGAGAACAAGAAAAUAUCGAUACUUGACUCGCUCAGUGCACUAGGCCCCUUCAACGAAUCAAGAAUAUCUAGACAUAACAAGACAUGUCACACCAUAGCAUAUCAUCUCGCCGAG